UACGUAGGGGGCUAGCGUUGUCCGGAAUCAUUGGGCGUAAAGCGCGCGUAGGCGGCCCGGUAAGUCCGUUGUGAAAGUCAAAGGCUCAACCUUUGAAAGCCGAUGGAUACUGCCGGGCUGGAGUCCGGAAGAGGCGAGUGGAAUUCCUGGGGUAGCGGUGGAAUGCGCAGAUAUCAGGAGGAACACCAAUAGCGAAGGCAGCUCGCUGGGACGGUACUGACGCUGAGGCGCGAAAGCGUGGGGAGCAAACAGG
rnacentral:rRNA from 1 species